UGGGGAAUUUUGGACAAUGGGCGAAAGCCUGAUCCAGCAAUGCCGCGUGUGUGAAGAAGGCCUUCGGGUUGUAAAGCACUUUUGUCCGGAAAGAAAUCCUUGGCUCUAAUACAGUCGGGGGAUGACGGUACCGGAAGAAUAAGCACCGGCUAACUACGUGCCAGCAGCCGCGGUAAUACGUAGGGUGCAAGCGUUAAUCGGAAUUACUGGGCGUAAAGCGUGCGCAGGCGGUUUGCUAAGACCGAUGUGAAAUCCCCGGGCGUCAACCUGGGAACUGCAUUGGUGACUGGCAGGCUAGAGUAUGGCAGAGGGGGGUAAAUUCCACGUGUAGCAGUGAAAUGCGUAGAGAUGUGGAGGAAUACCGAUGGCGAAGGCAGCCCCUGGCAAGUACUGACGCUCAUGCACGAAAGCGUGGGGAGCAAAC
rnacentral:rRNA from 1 species